rnacentral:rRNA from 1 species
UACGUAGGGGCCUAGCGUUGUCCGGAUUUAUUGGGCGUAAAGAGCUCGUAGGCGGCUUGGUUAGUCAGGUGUGAAAUCUCCACGCUCAACGUGGAGGGGCCACCCGAUACUGCCGUGACUUGAGUCCGGUAGGGGAGCACGGAAUUCCUGGUGUAGCGGUGAAAUGCGCAGAUAUCAGGAGGAACACCGGUGGCGAAGGCGGGUCUCUGGGCCGUAACUGACGCUGAGGAGCGAAAGCAUGGGGAGCGAACAGG